UGGGGAAUUUUGGGCAAUGGGCGAAAGCCUGACCCAGCGACGCCGCGUGGGCGAUGAAGGCCUUCGGGUCGUAAAGCCCUGUCAUGUGGGAAGAACUGUCUCGUAGCUAAUACCUGCGAGAUUUGACGGUACCACAGGAGGAAGCACCGGCUAACUCCGUGCCAGCAGCCGCGGUAAUACGGAGGGUGCAAGCGUUGUUCGGAAUCACUGGGCGUAAAGGGCGCGUAGGCGGUUGCGUAAGUCAGAUGUGAAAUACUUCAGCUUAACUGAAGAACUGCAUUUGAUACUGCAUGACUAGAGUACAGGAGAGGGAAAGGGAAUUCCCGGUGUAGAGUUGAAAUUCGUAGAUAUCGGGAGGAACACCAGUGGCGAAGGCGAUUUCCUGGCCUGAUACUGACGCUGAGGCGCGAAAGCGUGGGGAGCAAACA
rnacentral:rRNA from 1 species